AGGUAUUAGACAGGGAAUUAAAAGAUCUGUCUACCGUGGUAAGUCAGGAAUUGGAAUGUGUGGAUCAGAUUGUUAUCAGUCAGCCACAAGAAGUUCCUGCUCAGCUGUUGAAGGCGUUAGAGAAGGAUGCCAAGAAUCUUCAGAAGUCUCUAGGCUCUGUUCGUGACUCCUGGAGCUCCAGAUCCCUCCAUCUGCACAAUGCAGUGGAAGUGAAAAAGACCACAGUGUUAAAUUGGCACAAGGAGCUAGAAGGCAAACUUCAAGAUCUGAAAGCCUGGGUUGACAGAACCAGUCUUACUCUGCAUAGCAAGGGAUGUGACAC
rnacentral:lncRNA from 1 species